UACGAAGGGGGCUAGCGUUGUUCGGAAUCACUGGGCGUAAAGGGCGCGUAGGCGGCUUUGUAAGUCGGGGGGUGAAAGCCUGUGGCUCAACCACAGAAUUGCCUUCGAUACUGCAUGGCUUGAGACCGGAAGAGGUUAGUGGAACUGCGAGUGUAGAGGUGAAAUUCGUAGAUAUUCGCAAGAACACCAGUGGCGAAGGCGGCUGACUGGUCCGGUUCUGACGCUGAGG
rnacentral:rRNA from 1 species